rnacentral:rRNA from 1 species
AAAUUGAAGAGUUUGAUCAUGGCUCAGAUUGAACGCUGGCGGCAGGCCUAACACAUGCAAGUCGAGCGGUAGCACAGAAGAGCUUGCUCUUUGGGUGACGAGCGGCGGACGGGUGAGUAAUGUCUGGGAAACUGCCUGAUGGAGGGGGAUAACUACUGGAAACGGUAGCUAAUACCGCAUAACCUCGCAAGAGCAAAGAGGGGGACCUUCGGGCCUCUCGCCAUCAGAUGUGCCCAGAUGGGAUUAGCUAGUAGGUGAGGUAAUGGCUCACCUAGGCGACGAUCCCUAGCUGGUCUGAGAGGAUGACCAGCCACACUGGAACUGAGACACGGUCCAGACUCCUACGGGAGGCAGCAGUGGGGAAUAUUGCACAAUGGGCGCAAGCCUGAUGCAGCCAUGCCGCGUGUGUGAAGAAGGCCUUCGGGUUGUAAAGCACUUUCAGCGGGGAGGAAGGCGGUAAGGUUAAUAACCUUAUCGAUUGACGUUACCCGCAGAAGAAGCACCGGCUAACUCCGUGCCAGCAGCCGCGGUAAUACGGAGGGUGCAAGCGUUAAUCGGAAUGACUGGGCGUAAAGCGCACGCAGGCGGUCUGUUAAGUUGGAUGUGAAAUCCCCGGGCUUAACCUGGGAACUGCAUUCAAAACUGACAGGCUAGAGUCUUGUAGAGGGGGGUAGAAUUCCAGGUGUAGCGGUGAAAUGCGUAGAGAUCUGGAGGAAUACCGGUGGCGAAGGCGGCCCCCUGGACAAAGACUGACGCUCAGGUGCGAAAGCGUGGGGAGCAAACAGGAUUAGAUACCCUGGUAGUCCACGCUGUAAACGAUGUCGAUUUGGAGGUUGUGCCCUUGAGGCGUGGCUUCCGGAGCUAACGCGUUAAAUCGACCGCCUGGGGAGUACGGCCGCAAGGUUAAAACUCAAAUGAAUUGACGGGGGCCCGCACAAGCGGUGGAGCAUGUGGUUUAAUUCGAUGCAACGCGAAGAACCUUACCUACUCUUGACAUCCACAGAAUUCGGCAGAGAUGCCUUAGUGCCUUCGGGAACUGUGAGACAGGUGCUGCAUGGCUGUCGUCAGCUCGUGUUGUGAAAUGUUGGGUUAAGUCCCGCAACGAGCGCAACCCUUAUCCUUUGUUGCCAGCGAUUCGGUCGGGAACUCAAAGGAGACUGCCGGUGAUAAACCGGAGGAAGGUGGGGAUGACGUCAAGUCAUCAUGGCCCUUACGAGUAGGGCUACACACGUGCUACAAUGGCGUAUACAAAGAGAAGCGACCUCGCGAGAGCAAGCGGACCUCAUAAAGUACGUCGUAGUCCGGAUUGGAGUCUGCAACUCGACUCCAUGAAGUCGGAAUCGCUAGUAAUCGUAGAUCAGAAUGCUACGGUGAAUACGUUCCCGGGCCUUGUACACACCGCCCGUCACACCAUGGGAGUGGGUUGCAAAAGAAGUAGGUAGCUUAACCUUCGGGAGGGCGCUUACCACUUUGUGAUUCAUGACUGGGGUGAAGUCGUAACAAGGUAACCGUAGGGGAACCUGCGGUUGGAUCACCUCCUUACCAAGAAG